rnacentral:rRNA from 1 species
UCCAGACUCCUACGGGAGGCAGCAGUGGGGGAUAUUGCACAAUGGGGGGAACCCUGAUGCAGCGACGCCGCGUGGGUGAAGGAGCGUUUCGGCGCGUAAAGCCCUAUCGGCAGGGAAGAAGGAGGACGGUACCUGACUAAGAAGCCCCGGCUAACUACGUGCCAGCAGCCGCGGUAAUACGUAGGGGGCAAGCGUUAUCCGGAUUUACUGGGUGUAAAGGGGGCGCAGACGGCAGCGCAAGCCAGGAGUGAAAGCCCGGGGCCAAACCCCGGGACUGCUCUUGGAACUGCGCGGCUGGAGUGCAGGAGGGGCAGGCGGAAUUCCUAGUGUAGCGGUGAAAUGCGUAGAUAUUAGGAGGAACACCGGCGGCGAAGGCGGCCUGCUGGACCGUAACUGACGUUGAGGCUCGAAAGCGUGGGGAGCAAACAGGAUUAGAUACCCGUGUA